rnacentral:rRNA from 1 species
GAUGAACGCUGGCGGCGUGCCUAAUACAUGCAAGUCGAGCGAACGGACGAGAAGCUUGCUUUUCUUAUGUUAGCGGCGGACGGGUGAGUAACACGUGGAUAACCGACCUAUAAGACUGGGAUAACUUCGGGAAACCGGAUCUAAUACCGGAUAAUAUUUUGAACCGCAUGGUUCAAAAGUGAAAGACGGUCUUGCUGUCACUUAUAGAUGGUUCCUCGCUGCAUUAGCUAGUUGGUAAGGUAACGGCUUACCAAGGCAACGAUGCAUAGCCGACCUGAGAGGGUGAUCGGCCACACUGGAACUGAGACACGGUCCAGACUCCUACGGGAGGCAGCAGUAGGGAAUCUUCCGCAAUGGGCGAAAGCCUGACGGAGCAAUGCCGCGUGAGUGAAGAAGGUCUUCGGAUCGUAAAACUCUGUUAUUAGGGAAGAACAUAUGUGUAAGUAACUGUUCACAUCUUGACGGUACCUAAUCAGAAAGCAACGGCUAACUACGUG